rnacentral:rRNA from 1 species
UACAGAGGUCUCAAGCGUUGGUUCGGAUUCAUUGGGCGUAAAGGGUGCGUAGGCGGCGCGGGUAAGUCGGGGUGUGAAAUCUCGGAGCUUAACUCCGAAACUGCAUUCGAUACUGCCGUGCUUGAGGACUGGAGAGGAGACUGGAAUUUACGGUGUAGCGGUGAAAUGCGUAGAUAUUGGGAGGAACACCAGUGGCGAAGGCGGCUCACUGGACCGGUACUGACGCUGGAUGCG